rnacentral:rRNA from 1 species
GACAGGAGGAGCUAGCGUUAUUCAGUAUGAUUGGGUGCAAAAGAGUGCGUAGAGUACUCUGCAAGUUUUAUUCAAAAAAGACCAGAUUUAUAGUUUGGAAAAAGAAUAAAUACUACAGAGUUCGAGUCGAAUGGGUGGUAAGAGAACUUCUGGAGUAGCGCUUAAAUGUGUUGAUACCUGAAAGAAGACCAAGCGGCGAAGGCGCUUACCAAAAAUUUGUACUGACCUUGAGGUGACGAAGGCGCGGGGAUCAAACGGG